AAAAAAAGAAGCAGUGCUACAGUUGUACUAGACGCUGGAAUGGCUUGUAUUGGUUGAAAUUUUCUUAUUUUUCAGAUUCAAAAAUCUGUUUGCUCUACAAAGUCGAUGAGUGCAUCUAAUCAGUUCUGCAGCGCCAUGGUGAACGUUGGGAGGUGUUGGCACGGAAGACGGAGCGGGAAAAGGUUCACGACAACUAUGCGGUGAGAAGGAUAUCAACGGAUUGUGCAUUUACAGUUAGCGGGUGAGCCCACACUGUACCUCGUAGGAGAACCUGGCCAUGGGUAUUGGAGAAUGCAUAUCGUAUGCCGGGAUCGUGCGCGGCCUUGAACACUGACUCUGCUCGAUCACGGGUUCCAAAUUGGUCAUUACGUUACCGGCGGCUUGCCAGCAAUCAGCAUUGGGUGUUCUUUUUCCGAUCAGUUCUUCCCACCGUCCUUCUGUGUAUAAAGUGCCUUCCAUUAACAUCUCCCGACAACAAGUUGGAGUUGCUUCUAGCACGGAUUAUGAUGGUGCUGUUGCCGAAGAGGAAUGUUGUGUUGCCUGGUUGCACUGGACAGGAUGGUUCACACAGUGUAGUCGAUCUCCUGUUGGUGUCGAUUGUUCCCUUCGAGCCGGAGGCCCAUCCCGGCCGCUCAGUGCGAUAGUGUUAGAUGCUAGAAAUACAAGAUGUAAAUAUAAAAUGGUUACUUUACAUGUUCAUACAGAAGAGGUGAUUAUAUAGGUUAUAGAAUUACGGCUUUUACUUACUAAUAAAAACAUGAACGAGCGAAAUGCAUCACGUACAUAUUGCGCAGCUGAACCAGGCAAAGAAAUGCUCCAGUGUCGUCCCCAUUUUUGUCCGGAUCAUGGUCGUCGUGAAGGUUACUGUAGUAACGGUAUUUGAAGGCAUAUCCUGAGCCGAUCCCUAUGACGAUCGAAAGAUCCGCAGCAUCCUUUCUUAUUGAAAUCAUUGCCUGCACAAAUUGCUCAAAACAAAUCGCACGACUUGAAAGCUAAUAAAAUUUUCCGCAAUAUUUAUUGGCGGAGAAGAGAUUUGGAUCAACAAUCACACAGUGAAUAGAACGAAGACGAUCGGCUUCGUCAACCUCUCCCUCUCUUCUAACCAAAUCACGCAUUAACUCUUACCCCUUCUCCAUGAGCAGCCAGACCAAAAAUCAGCGAACAAAGAUACAGGGCUCGCAUAUUCACUUUGCGAUGCGAACGGCAUAUUUUGUACAAAGUGUUUCAAUUUGUUAUAUACAUUUUUUCGACAAAACCUACCGUCUUGACAAUAAAAUCAUAUCGAAAACCAUGUGAAAGAGAU